rnacentral:rRNA from 1 species
UACGGAGGGUGCAAGCGUUAUCCGGAUUCACUGGGUUUAAAGGGUGCGUAGGCGGCCAGGUAAGUCCGUUCUGAAAGCCCGGGGCUCAACCCCGGGAGGCGGAUGGAUACUGCUUGGCUCGAGUCCGGAAGAGGCGAGUGGAAUUCCCGGUGUAGCGGUGAAAUGCGCAGAUAUCGGGAGGAACACCAAUGGCGAAGGCAGCUCGCUGGGACGGUACUGACGCUGAGACGCGAAAGCGUGGGGAGCAAACAGGG